rnacentral:misc_RNA from 1 species
AACAUCUCAAAUCUCUCAGCGCUUGCGUUUGAGAGAAUUGGAUUUGAGCGAUCCCGACUCUUUCGUCAGAGAGAGGAGGGUCGCUUGAAAUGCAGGUGCAGCUGGACAUUCUUCUGAGCUAAAAGCAUAUCUAUUUAGUCCCGUCAAACGGAUUAUUACUUUUGCUUCAGCUAAUAUAAAGGUCGAAUGAACUACCAACGCUGAUUGCAGGAAAACUCGUUCGUAACUGAACUUGUGA